GACGAACGCUGGCGGCGUGCUUAACACAUGCAAGUCGAACGGAAAGGCCCUGCUUUUGUGGGGUGCUCGAGUGGCGAACGGGUGAGUAACACGUGAGUAACCUGCCCUUGACUUUGGGAUAACUUCAGGAAACUGGGGCUAAUACCGGAUAGGAGCUCCUGCUGCAUGGUGGGGGUUGGAAAGUUUCGGCGGUUGGGGAUGGACUCGCGGCUUAUCAGCUUGUUGGUGGGGUAGUGGCUUACCAAGGCUUUGACGGGUAGCCGGCCUGAGAGGGUGACCGGCCACAUUGGGACUGAGAGACGGCCCAGACUCCUACGGGGGGCAGCAGGGGGGAAUAUUGCACAAUGGGCGGAAGCCUGAUGCAGCAACGCCGCGUGCGGGAUGACGGCCUUCGGGUUGUAAACCGCUUUCGCCUGUGACGAAGCGUGAGUGACGGUAAUGGGUAAAGAAGCACCGGCUAACUACGUG
rnacentral:rRNA from 1 species